ACGUGGUUUAUCAGUUGCCAACUGUUAAAGUGUUCGCCUCCUCUGAUGAGGAAGACGAGCCUUCCUUCUCCUGCUUUGCCACCGAUUUUUCACCAAAAAGUUAUAAGAUCAAGUGGCUGAAAAAUGGUCAGGACUUCAACAACCAAACAGACAAGAUCGAAACAACUUCCGAGGGGAGAAAGGACAAGAAUGGUACUAAAAUGUACAGUGCAGCAAGUUUUCUCAAAGUGAAGUCCAGUGAUUGGUCUCUUUACCCCCGUACUGAGUUUACAUGCCUGUUUGAGGGGAAAGGUAAAAAUGACAUUCCAGCCUACAAGAAUUCAUCUGUAGUCUACAAAGACUGUGGUACCCCAUGUCGUGAAAACGUGCAAAUAAAGAUCGAUGGCCCCUUAACGGCGGAGUUGUUUUUAAACAACAAAGCAUCUUUAGUAUGUACAGUCCAGAUAGAUGAGGCAACUCCUCCCAAGAUGUGGUGGGAAGAUGGUGACAGAAAAGAGCUGGUUGGUACCACAACAGAAGCUGUAAAAGUAAAGAAGAACCAAUUCAGCCUUACUCUUGACAUCUCGUAUGAAGAAUGGAGCCGUGGGAUAAAGCGCUACUGCGUUGUUGAACAUUCAACAUUGCUUGAACCAAUGAAAAAACUCUAUGAAAGGAAUAUUGAGUUCCUGAACGAAACUAACAUCCAAUGGAACUGUAUCACAGAGGAAGAUAACAUGGCGGUGGCAGCCGUCACCUUCAUCCUUCUCUUCUUCAUCACUCUGCUGUUCACCAUUGUAACCACUUUUUUCAAGAUUAAAUGAAAUGAGGCAAACUUUCUGUAAAAAAACUUUCACUUUUUCACACAUUUUGCUUAGAAACUCAUAGUAUCAUGUAAGUAAUUAUCAUUGUGCUUUUUUCAUCAUAAUUACAAGCUUUGUGUCUUUUUGAAAAUAAAUGUUUAAAUGAA